CUUGGCAUGUCUUGCUGCUCAUUCGGACGUCCCCUGUCCUUUUGUGCUCUGCCCUACACCCUUCUCCUAAAGUGCCCCACAUUCUGCCGUGAUUUCCCAUUUCCUCGUGCAAGCUUGUCUUCGGGCCCUGCAGCGAAACCACCGCCUGGUGUGAGGUCAGGUGUUAUUUAUCACAGCCGUCUGCACGGGGAGUUGACAUUUGUACAGGCAUUGUGCUCUGCCGUUGUAAUUGACUCUCCUUGUCUUUUUGAGGACACCAACAGAUAUAACUAUGUCAGGACACCGCUCAGCUAUAUAUUACCUAUCUCACUGAGGAUGACAACUGCUGCCCCAAUCACCCACCUCCCCGAUGGUCCUGGUUCUGAAGCCACGCACGCUCCACUGGCAUGGCGGCCUCACAACCCUUGCACUGUGCCGCCGUGGCUGGAGGAUCUAGCAGCUGUGAACAGUGAUCUGGAGGCAAAAACAGCUAACCACUCCUGCAUGUGGACCUUUACCCCGACGCCGCCAGAUGAUCCAGGGGUUUGGCCCAGAACCAGGUCAUUGUCACACCGAGAAAAUCUUCACUUCUUCAUUUGGAGCCAUCGCCAUCGUGAAGGUCUGAACAAAUCACAUUCACACUGUACUUUGUCACGCCGUUUGCUGUCUCCAUCGGUUCACAGGGACAAUUGA
ensembl:lncRNA